UACAGAGGGUGCGAGCGUUUGUUCGGAAUUACUGGGCGUAAAGCGUUUGUAGGCGGUGCUGAGAGUCCUAGGUGAAAUCCCCGAGCUCAACUCGGGAACUGCCUCGGAGACCUCAGUACUAGAGUACUGAAGGGGUUACUGGAAUUCCAUGUGUAGCGGUGAAAUGCGUAGAUAUAUGGAGGAACACCUGUGGCGAAGGCGGGUAACUGGUCAGAGACUGACGCUGAGAAACGAAAGCGUGGGGAGCAAACAGG
rnacentral:rRNA from 1 species